rnacentral:misc_RNA from 1 species
CUGGGUUUAAGGUUUCGUGCCUACCACCCGCCCUCUGUUAUAUCAACCACAACGCUUCGGCCGUUGGCCCCCCUUCAGUAGCACAUGCUGCUGGGGGUUGUCGCGGUCGGUUUACAAUUCUUAGUGUACGCAUGUUGUCUGAUAUGGAUGAAAAGCCAAUGUAUAAAAA